ensembl:snoRNA small nucleolar RNA U85
GCCCAAUGAUGAGACCAAGGCGAAUAUGAGCUUACUGAAUGAGAGUUAGGUUCUUCUUGCCUUGACUGGCAGGUAAUCUUGGCAGUGUAGAGGAGGAUUCCUGCUCUGCUGUAAGGGCCUGCCCACAGUGAUUUGGCUUAACCCAAAUUACUCCUGCAGUAGAAGUUAGUGGAGUAAUCACAGGGAUAAAGCUAACAGUGUGUAUGUGUAGUGUGUGUGUGUGUGUGUGUGUGUGUGUGUGUGUGUGUGUGUGAGUGUGUUGGAGGCAUGGAGGACACCCAGCUCUCUUCACUGUUCAGUUGGCAAUGACUUUUGUCUUUGGUAAUCUGAGGGCC